rnacentral:ncRNA from 2 species
UAGCGACGCUCUGGAAAGUGCAAUCGGACCAAUGGGUUCGGGGGCCGCCGAAGGGGUAAAUCUGCGCAUUCCCAUGCGCGGGCUAAGCUCUCAGGUUUCCGUGACAGAGGGGGCACC